rnacentral:rRNA from 1 species
UGCAUGUCGAGCGCUCUUCAGCUAUGUAGAGAGCGCGGCGAACGGCUCAAUAACACGUAGUUAACCUACCCUCGGGAUGGGAAUAACCCCGGGAAACUGGGAUUAAUGCCCACUAGAUGAUUAUACCUGGAAUGGCUUAUCAUCGAAAGAGUCUGGAAACAUGCUUCCAGCGUCGCCCGAGGAUGGGACCGCGUCCGAUCAGGUAGUUGGUGGGGUAAUGGCCUACCAAGCCUAUAACCGGUACGGGCCCUGAGAGGGGGAGCCCGGAGAUGGAAACUGAGAAAAGGUUCCAGGCCCUACGGGGUGCAGCAGGCGCGAAACCUCCACAAUGCGCGAAAGCGUGAUGGGGUUAUCCCGAGUGCCGUCCGAUGAGGAUGGCUUUUUAUCGGUGUAAGGAUCCGAUAGAAUAAAGGGGGGGCAAGACUGGUGUCAGCCGCCGCGGUAAUACCAGCCCCCUGAGUGGUAAGGACGAUUAUUUGGCCUAAAGCGUUCGUAGCCGGCUUAUCAAGUCUUUUGUUAAAUCCAACGAUCCAAUCGUUGGGCCGCAAAAGAUACUGUUAUGCUAGAGGACGGGAGAGGUCGACGGUAGUCCAGGGGUAGGGGUGAAAUCCUAUAAUCCUUGGAGGACCACCAGUGGCGAAGGCGGUCGACUAGAACGUGCCUGACGGUGAGGGACGAAAGCUGGGGGAGCGAACCGGAUUAGAUACCCGGGUAGUCCCAGCUGUAAACGAUGCGGGCUAGGUGUUGGGGCAGCCACGAGCUGCU